CAUCCUACGGGACGCAGCAGUGGGGGAUAUUGCACAAUGGGGGGAACCCUGAUGCAGCGACGCCGCGUGGGUGAAGGAGUGCUUCGGCAUGUAAAGCCCUAUCGGCAGGGAAGAAGCAAGACGGUACCUGACUAAGAAGCCCCGGCUAACUACGUGCCAGCAGCCGCGGUAAUACGUAGGGGGCAAGCGUUAUCCGGAUUUACUGGGUGUAAAGGGAGCGUAGACGGUGCAGCAAGUCUGAUGUGAAAGGUCGGGGCCCAACCCCCGGACUGCAUUGGAAGCUGUUGAACUGGAGUACAGGAGAG
rnacentral:rRNA from 1 species